rnacentral:sRNA from 1 species
GGCUCGAGGAGGACAAGGUGAACGGGAAGGAGCUCUCCAAGCUGUCUCAGGAGCAAACUCUGCAGGCCCUGCGCUCCUCCAAGGAGCCCCUGGUGAUCCAGGUGCUGAGACGCAGCCCCCGCCUCCGGGGGGACAGCUCCUGUCACGACCUGCAGCUGGUGGACAGUGGCACUCAGACCGACAUCACCUUCGAGCAUAUCAUGGCGCUGGGCAAGCUGCGUCCGCCCACCCCGCCCAUGGUCAUCCUGGAGCCGUACGUCCUCUCUGAGCUGGCCGAGGGAGGACCCUCCUGUCCGGGACGUCGCUGCCGGAAGUGCCAGGGUUGAGGGCCUCAGCUCCUCCUCCUCCAUCCUCUCUCCUCUGCCGCCUCACAAGCAUCACUCCUUGAAUCUUCUUGCAUCCCUUGUCUGUCUCAUUCCUCUACCUGCUCUGAAUUUCCUCCAUCUCUUCAGCUUCUUUCUUUGGCCCGACCGGAAGAAGGGCCUUUCAUCCAGGCCUGGUGGCUCAUGACCGCCCCCCCAGUCAGCCAUGAGUAUUAUGACCCGGCGGAGUUUAUGGAGGGCGGCCCGCAGGAGGCAGACCGCUUGGAUGAGCUGGAGUAUGAGGAGGUGGAGCUGUAUAAAAGCAGCCACCGGGACAAGCUGGGCCUGAUGGUUUGCUACCGCACGGACGACGAGGAGGACCUGGGCAUUUAUGUCGGAGAGGUAAAUCCCAACAGCAUUGCAGCCAAAGACGGCCGGAUCCGUGAGGGAGACCGCAUCAUCCAGAUUAACGGUGUAGACGUCCAGAACCGGGAAGAGGCGGUGGCCAUCCUGAGCCAGGAAGAGAA